GACCUUGUCUUUCCAAAAAGCCCUGACAUGGACUGUUGAGCAUGCAUUGUGCAUCUGCUUUAAACAUUUACAAUGGCAAGAGCAAGAGGCC